GAUGAACGCUGGCGGCGUGCCUAAUACAUGCAAGUCGAGCGAACAGACGAGGAGCUUGCUCCUCUGACGUUAGCGGCGGACGGGUGAGUAACACGUGGAUAACCUACCUAUAAGACUGGGAUAACUUCGGGAAACCGGAGCUAAUACCGGAUAAUAUAUUGAAUCGCAUGGUUCAACAGUGAAAGACGGUCUUGCUGUCACUUAUAGAUGGAUCCGCGCCGCAUUAGCUAGUUGGUAAGGUAACGGCUUACCAAGGCAACGAUGCGUAGCCGACCUGAGAGGGUGAUCGGCCACACUGGAACUGAGACACGGUCCAGACUCCUACGGGAGGCAGCAGUAGGGAAUCUUCCGCAAUGGGCGAAAGCCUGACGGAGCAACGCCGCGUGAGUGAAGAAGGUCUUCGGAUCGUAAAACUCUGUUAUUAGGGAAGAACAAAUGUGUAAGUAACUAUGCACGUCUUGACGGUACCUAAUCAGAAAGCCACGGCUAACUACGUG
rnacentral:rRNA from 1 species